GUAACUUAUUCUGCAGGUGUUUUGAAACAUGAGCAAGCAUUUAUAAUAAAUUUUAACUUGAUAAAUGAGUGAUGUCUUCAAAUACAAGUGGUACAUGAUGCUAAAAAAAAAGGCAGAGGAAUACCUCACUUCAAAUGACAUUAAGAAGGUGUGUAAAAUGUGGGAAACAGUGCAAAAUUUUGUAGAAAGGCACAUCCAAAUAAGGCUGUAGCAAUGCAAGCAGUGAAUCUAUUUAAUAACAAGGCAGUGUCACAUUUUCAUGAAAUCCUCAAAAGGAGGCAAGAGUAAGGUUAGGUUUCUUGUUAAAGUUGCACAAAAAGAAAAGCAUUUCAUCAAGCCAGCCAAUAGACAGCAGUGAUUCUGUUAGUGAUAGUGAAAGUUGUCCUACACAGUAACCCUCCUCUCUCUUGUCUGCUUCACACCAGCCAUGAAGGUUUUCAAAGGAUUUCCUUUAUUUCGGAAGAAGAACUUUGAUGCACUGAUUGUUGAUACUCCCCCUCCUUGUCAAAAAGCUCCUCAGAUGUCAUUCUCUGUUGCUCAGCCAGAAGUUGUUGAAGUUCCUCUGAAAACAAUUCCUCUGAGUGUUCCUCCACCAGUUCCUCAACAUCACUAUUGUCUACCUGCAAGCCUAUGGUCUCUGUUAUAGUGACAAUGUGAUCAACCACAUGGUCAAUUGAAGACUCAGGCUCCUCUAUAUAGCCUUCAGAGUCUCUCUCCUGUAUAAUUUUAGGCCACACUUUCAGUUGAGCCAAUCUCAGUGUCUUUAGAGAAAUGUUGGCCCAGGAUCUCUCAAGUAAUCUCACAUAAGAAAGGAUGUUUUAAUGUUCCUUACAUAACUCUUUAAGGAUUAAAGAAAUCUGUAUCUGAGACCGUCUGGAAGCACUUCAUGAAUAGUUCCUUGGUGUAUAGCUUCUUAAAGUUAGCUAUAAUGCGCUGGAGUAGAGCAGUUAUAUUAGGUGGGAGGAACUUGACUGAGAGCAGUGGGAAUUCUUCAGCUAAGUCUUCUUAUAAAUCUCGUGGGUGAGCAGAAGCAUUGUCCAUAAUGAGGAGCACCUUGAGUGGUAAACCUUUGUCCUCUAGAUAAUUCUUAACAAUAGGACAGAAAGCCUUCCUGAUCCACUUAAGAAAAACUACUCUUCUUACCCAUGCUUUUGUGUUAGAUCUCCACAUGACCCCUAGCCUAUUCUUCAUGACUUUAUGUUUUCUGAAUUCUCUAGGGAUCUCAGAGUGAUAAACCAAAAGGGGCUUUACCUUGAGGUCACCGCUGGCAUUGGCACAUUUUGAUAGGUUUGUGGCCUGGUAUUUUCUUUUCUUCCUGGGUAAUGUAUAUUCUCCUGGGUAUUUUCUUCCAGAAAAGUCCAGUUUUAUCACAGUUGAUAAUGAUGUGAGCAAAAGCCAUUUCUCUGUGUCAUCAUUUCAUAGUAUGUAAUUUUAGCAGCCCUUCCACCAGGACUGGCUGCUUCACUAUGGCUAGUUAUGCUAUGAACCCCAGUUCUCACUUUAAAAUUGUGAAACUACUCCUUACUGGCAUAAAAUGUUUAACCUUAUCACUCAUUGAGGGAUUAUCCUUUAUGAGAUCUGCAUUCAUAGCCCUAGCUUUUUCACAAAUUAUAGACUCAGAUAGGUUAUAACCUGCCAUCUGCCUUUCCUUUAUCUACACUAAUAAUAGCCUUUAUACCUCAUCAGUGACUUACUAAUAUGAGGGACACACUUAGCAACACUAGCUUCCUUAUACAAAUCUUUUCUCUGUAAGAUUGUUGAGGUGGUGGAUUUCAACAUGCUGUACAUAUUAGCAAGGUCAGCUACACGAAAGCCACUCUCACAUUUCUCUACAGUUUCCUUCUUUUCAUUUGUGAUAGCUUUCUUUACCUUCUCUUCCUUCCUUAGCUUCUUUUUCAGCUUUUUGGUGGGCUGCUUUGAUAGCAGUAAUUGUAGCAAUUAUAUAAAGCACUUACUGAAAUCAUGUCCACAAACAUGUGCAUCUGGGCUCAGACUGAUCCUUAUGUAUGCUUACAUAUGCUUUUCUGGGAAUGCAAGUCUAUUUACAACCAUUCAGGUUGUAACUCAAGAUUUUGAUCAUAAGUUAAAACUGAAAUUCCGGCUGUAACCCAAGUUGUUUGUACAAGAAGUUGGUUGUAACUUGAGGGUCCACUGUAUUUUGUUCCUAAUUUUUGAUGAUGUAUAUAAGUAUACUUCAGUGCACAUUUAAAUUUUUUAUUUAUUUCUCAAAGUAAACAUGACACAUUAAAUUUCUUAAUAAAUUAUUUUUAUCUCACAUAAUAAAUUUAAAGUAAAUAAAUGAUGUGCAUCAUAUUUGAAAAACAAAGCAAUCAUUUGCCUUUUUGUAUAUUGUAAACAAUAAAGAUUUAAAAGUAACUAUUAUGUAUUAUCUUUAAUAAUAUGUCAAUAUCUUAAAAUUAGUUCUUUAAUAUUUUACUGCUUUGUAGAGCUAUAAUUGACAAUAAAUUGCACAUUUAAAUUGAACCUUUUCAUAAUUUUUAUAUAGAUAUAUAAUCCAUAACUACAAUUAAGACAAUGAUCAUAUCCAUCUCCUCCCAAAGUUUCCUUACAUUCUUUUGUAAUGCAAGUAGAAGAGUGGUUGACUAUGGGUAUAUGCCUGCCUGGGCCAGUAUCAUGGGAAGACUCAAGACAACAUUAUAUUUUCCUGGGGAGGCAGGUCAGAGAAGUCCUAAAGAAGGGGUAGAAUUUUCAAAGUAGAUGAAGUGAGUGAGGAAAUGAAUAAUAUUACAGUUAAGAUGAAAAUGUAAGGAGCCUAAUGGCAUAUUCAGGGCAUAAUUAGGACAUUAAGAGAAGAAACUUACUUCUGCUACUUAUUAACUAUGUGUCCUUGAUUAUGUUCUAUUUCAGAGCUUCAUUCUUGAAGCUGUAAAGUGAAAUAAUAGUAUCUAUCUUGUAUUGUUUUGAGGAUUAAAGAUAUAAAUAUAUGACACUUUAUGUCAUACAUAGCUGACAAUCGAUAAGUGGUUGCUACAACUAUUAUUACUACAACUGUUUCUACUAUUACCAUUCCUUUUAGCAUUUCUGAUACAUAAAGCUUAAAAAGGAAGCAAAGAGUGGGGCAUGGUGCCUCACACCUGUAAUUUCAGCAUUCUGAAGGACCGAGGUAGGAGGAUCACAAGUUAGAUCCCAGGUUGGGCAUCUUAGCAAUUUAGUGAGACCUGUCUCAAAAUUAAAAAAAUAAAAAGGGUUAGAGCCCAAAGGCCCUGAUUUCAGUCCUCACUACCUUCAACACAAACAAAUAAACACAAACAAGGGAGCCAAUGGCGAUCAAACUAGAAAGGUAGGCAAGAUUGAAGCUACCAAGAGCCUUGAAUUCAAUGUUAAUACACUCUCACUUGAUUCUGUGGCUUCUGAGUUACUAAGUCUUAAGGGAUUUUAGCAGAGGAUUAAUAUUUUUUUUGAAGUUGGCUAUUCACACCCCUGCUUUUGAAACCAAUAUACUGGGGAUGAUUGAGAGAUGAUGGAGAAAGUUAGGUAGCCCACAAAUACAUUAAAUAUGAGAUAAGAGUCAAAUUACAAUUUAAAACUUGCUAAAGAUAGUGUGCAACAUAGAUAGCUAUAGGUGGAGCACAUAUCAGGCAAGACACAUAUAACAACCUAAUAAUACAUAAAUAAAAAGAUAAGUAGAUAGAAUUUCAGUUCUGUCUCCCAUUUAAUAUGUGAUUCUUCCUUACCCGAGACCACUUUUCAACAGAGUUAGGUUAACUAGUUAUUCCUAUCAUAUUUCUACCACUUCCUGCAACCUUUCCCAAUAAAAAAGAUACCUAGUAUUUCAUUUUAUUGAAUACUUGGCCACUUCUAAUUGUAAAGUUACACUUAAUCAAAAAGCUGGAUUCACACUGAAGUAAUCGACUAGCUAAUUACUCUCCUGGGAUUGUGGCCUUAGAUUAAUCAUUACAAAUAAUGGGAAACUAGAUAAACUUAACUCUUUUUUUCAGAGCUUGAAUUUCAAGCAAGGAGAAAAUAGUAUUAUUUUUAUGGUUUUAAAUUCUCUCAAUUUCUAGAUGAUGCAGCUGUGUCCUCAUUGUAUUUUAUGGCCAGGAAAAAAAGCCCCUCAGCAGUUCCUAUAAUUUCAAAUUUAUAACUAUGUCCAGGGUAAUUCACCCAUAAGCCAACUAGAAAUAAAAAUAGAACAGAUAGACCCAUCUGUUGGGAUGAUUUCUUAACUGUGGAAAACAUUUUCCUGUCUUUAAAAGCAAAGCUGUAAAAUCUCUAUAAAUUUCAAUCCACAAACCAUGAAACUCUAAUUUUUCCACUUCUCUAGUCACUUUGAGUAAAUGAUUUUUGCAUAUAUGAAAUGUCAAAAAUCAACAAAAUGAUCCAAGGUAGUGUGAGAGAUUGAUUUUUGACUACACAAAAGCCUUCUAAGUGAUAGCAAAAAGAUUCUUCAUGUAAAUUAGAACCAAAAAGAAUUUUAUGUUGCUUGGUACUUGUAUUGGAAGAUCUGUAUCUUCAGAUAAUAUAUUUUUCUGCUUUAUAAGUGAUUUUUCAGCACUUUAUCUCAUUGUUUUUAAUUAAC
ensembl:lncRNA